GAGCAAAGUUACAAUUAGUAACAUAGGGGCAGACACCGGCACGGAACUUACAACACAACUUCGUUUUAAAGAACAUCUUUCCGAUUGCUUUAGAGCUACUGGUGACUAUAAUGCGAGCAUCUGAAUCCUGCACAUUCCUUGACUUCUUGUUGGGAAGCUCACUGCCUGACUGGUUUUGUGAAUGCCUACCAUCCUGACUGGAAUUGGAAGGGGUUUCACAAUAGGGACCACUGUUCCAGGCUUUAUAAUCAUCCUCAGUAGCCCAAACUGCCUGGUCAGAAAAAUUAGGACCCCAACUG
rnacentral:misc_RNA from 1 species